UGCCCGGUCGUCUAAUGGUAGGACAUGCGGCUCUGAACCGUAUAAUCGAGGUUCGAAUCCUUGCCGGGCAG
rnacentral:tRNA from 1 species